rnacentral:rRNA from 1 species
GAUGAACGCUGGCGGCGUGCCUAAUACAUGCAAGUCGUGCGAAUGGAUUAAGAGCUUGCUCUUAUGAAGUUAGCGGCGGACGGGUGAGUAACACGUGGGUAACCUGCCCAUAAGACUGGGAUAACUCCGGGAAACCGGGGCUAAUACCGGAUAACAUUUUGAACCGCAUGGUUCGAAAUUGAAAGGCGGCUUCGGCUGUCACUUAUGGAUGGACCCGCGUCGCAUUAGCUAGUUGGUGAGGUAACGGCUCACCAAGGCAACGAUGCGUAGCCGACCUGAGAGGGUGAUCGGCCACACUGGGACUGAGACACGGCCCAGACUCCUACGGGAGGCAGCAGUAGGGAAUCUUCCGCAAUGGACGAAAGUCUGACGGAGCAACGCCGCGUGAGAGAUGAAGGCUUUCGGGUCGUAAAACUCUGUUGUUAGGGAAGAACAAGUGCUAGUUGAAUAAGCUGGCACCUUGACGGUACCUAACCAGAAAGCCACGGCUAACUACGUGCCAGCCGCCGCCGUAA